rnacentral:snRNA from 1 species
AUCAUUUCUCGGCCUUUUGGGUAACAUCAAGUGUAG